rnacentral:misc_RNA from 1 species
UUCUGGACACAAGUGAGAGGGUUCUGAUUAUGUUGGUUAUCGAGUAAACCUCUAGAAGCACUAGCAUCAGGAACAGUAUCCAGCAUAUCAUCUUUCUUAAAGUCAGUAGUUGACUCUGCAGCUUUAACACCAUCUACUUCUUAGUCCAAAUGGUGGUAUGGCUCUCCAGACUAUGCCGUCUGAUAAUCAGCUGGACUUAGAAG